UGGGGAAUCUUCCGCANUUCCGAAAGCCUGAUGGAGCAACGCCGCGUGAGCGAAGAAGGUCUUCGGAUCGUAAAGCUCUGUUGUUAGGGAAGAACAAAUGCAGUAGUAACUGGCUGUACCUUGACGGUACCUUACUAGAAAGCCACGGCUAACUACGUGCCAGCAGCCGCGGUAAUACGUAGGUGGCAAGCGUUGUCCGGAAUUAUUGGGCGUAAAGCGCGCGCAGGCGGUCUUUUAAGUCUGAUGUGAAAUCCCCCGGCUCAACCGGGGGGGGUCAUUGGAAACUGGGAGACUUGAGUGCAGGAGAGGGAAGCGGAAUUCCUUGUGUAGCGGUGAAAUGCGUAGAGAUAUGGAGGAACACCCGUGGCGAAGGCGGCUUUCUGGNCUGUAACUGACGCUGAGGCGCGAAAGCGUGGGGAGCAAACAGGAUUAGAUACCCUGGUAGUCCACGCCNUAAACGAUGAGUGCUUAUUGUUGGGGGGUUUCCUCCCCUNAGUGCUGCAGCUAACGCAUUAAGCACUCCGCCUGGGGAGUACGGUCGCAAGACUGAAAACUCAAGGGNAUUUNUCGGGG
rnacentral:rRNA from 1 species